AGGUAGAACUGCGGAAGAUCAUUGUCGAAACCUGCGAGGCAGACCGUGAACGCGUGCUCAACGCCGGCGCCGCGGCUCCGGCCGCGGCGCCCGCCCCCUGSGGCAGCAGGGGGCCAACGAACCCCGGCGCGGAACGCGCCAAGGAAGACCGAAACGAAGCGCCCUCCCCCCGUCCGCGUGCGAUACUUGGUGUGAAUUGCAGAAUCCCGUGAACCAUCGAGUCUUUGAACGCAAGUUGCGCCCGAAGCCUUCGGGCCGAGGGCACGCCUGCCUGGGCGUCACGCAUCGCGUCGCCCCCCCAGCCCGUCCGCCCGCUCCGGGCGGGGCGCGGGGGCGGAGACUGGCCUCCCGUGCGCCUCCGUCGCGCGGCCGGCCCAAAUGCGAUCCCCCGGCGGCGCCAGUCGCGACCAGUGGUGGUUGAAUCAUCCUCAACUCGCGUGCUGUCAGUCGUGCGGAGCGGCGUCGUCCGGCAGGGGCAAUCAUCGGCGACCCAAUCGGCGCCUCGGCGCUUCCGACCGCGACCCCAGGUCAGGCGGGAUUACCCG
rnacentral:rRNA from 1 species